AACUUUACUUCACUUUACUUUUAGGUUUUGAGAAUUUCAAUUUGAAGGUAAUUUCUGAACUUUUAGGUUUUGGGGAUUCCAAAUUGAGUGAUGGAGCAGUGGAACUCUUUAUACUUAGAUCUACUUUAGAGUGGAAGGACAAUUUUAAAUCAUUCAAAGUUGAUGAUAUUUGCAAGCUUGUCAAGAAAUUUUAUCCAGAAGAUUUCAGUGAGCAGGAAAUGCAUUAUUUGAGAUGUCAGCUAAAGCAUUAUAAAAUUGAUGUGCUCCAUCAUAAGAGCUUUCAAAAUAUGUCCACCAUCACUGAAUUGUGUCGCGAUUUAGUUGAAACAAAUAAGUUGCAGCAUUAUAAUUUGAUUGACAGAUUGAUUCGUCUUGUUUUGACUCUACUUGUUUCCACUGCCACGACAGAACGAGCAUUUUCAGUUAUGAAGCAUGUUAAAACUGCUCUUUGCAAUAAAAUGGAAGAGGAGUUUUUAGCAGAUCCCAUGAUGAUUUACAUUGAACGAGAGCUUGUUGAAGAUAUCGAUUCAGAUUCAAUAAUAGACGAAUUCCAUUCUACAAAGCAUCGAAGGCUACAGCUAAAAUGGUGUGUUUUGUUUUCCUUUUUUCUUAUAUGUUAUGUACCUUUGAACCUUACUACUAUGUAUGAUUUUGAAUUGAUGAUUGAUCUUGGUGGGAUAAUUUUUUGUGCAUACGGUUGGUACUUGGUAGCCCAGGACGGACAAAAUUCCUGGCUCCGCCCUUGAUCCCAAUUAUGGUAUUUUGUGAUCUUAUUAAUAAUAAGGUAAUUUGUUUGUGGAUUUCCUUAGCUUGAAUCUACAUCCCAAUUAUUACCCGCUGAUUGCCGUCUCUGUCUCUAUGAUGUCCGCUUCAACUCGGAUUGCUUUUGUAUGAAUAUACAUCGCAAUUAGUUUAUGUUACUAAUAAGUUGAUAAGUUGUUUGUUGAUUUCUUUCUAUGCAUGUGGUCAUUGUUUUUUCCUUGCUUCAGGGUUUUUUGUCUUCUUACUCUGCCCGAUACAAGCUCACAACUGACCAACUCGAAUGAGAAUUGAUAUUGGUUUGUACUGGGAUUAAGGGUUUGGAGUAAUACCAGUCUGCAGUGAUGAUGUUACUUAAUAGUUCACUAAUUUUUCUAAAAGAAACUAUUUGCUAUGAGAUUGCAACUGGGAGGAAGUCACUGCUGAGGAUCUCAGGGGUGCUUCUGUGCGCUGCAAGGCAUAUGGAGUUUCAGAUUAUCUUGGCUAAGGGAAUGGUCUUAUUCUUCCAAGUUCCAGCUUAACUGUGUUUGCCAAAUGUCAAUUUGAUUCCAAAGAGUAAUUUCCUGUCUGAUUCACUCUUGGAAUGGACAACUGGGGAUUAUGAACUCUCACUCUCCAUAGCUGAUUAAUACUCCUUGAGAUAACUUCUUCCUUUUCACGAAUGGUUUUGCUAGACAUUGGAUAUUCAGCUGAUCAGAUUAUAAUAGUGUGGCGACCAAAGUGAACGUUGAGUUGAAUAUAUUCGGCAAUAUUGGUUAGCUUUUUGCACCUGAAGGAUCACUCUAUGACGCACGUCAAUAUGAUUCAAAAUGAAUUGAUUGUGGGUUCUUUCCCCAAUCCUUGAGUUAUUUUCUCGCCUAAGCAAUAAGAGGGAUCUCAAAAAAAAAUGUUUAUGGAUAUAUUAUAAAUAUUUAAAAGGACAGGUUUUUAAAGCCUGCAACUGGGGGAGGAAGUUACUGCUGAGGAUCUCGGGACUGCUGCUGUGCAUUGCAAGGUAUUUGGGGUUUCAGAUUAUUUUGCCCAAGGCAUUGAGCAUGUUGUCAUCAACAGCUUUGUCGCUCCUAUACAUUAGUCAUUGGUGCUUGGCAACUAAAUCAUUUUCAUUGAGAUUGUGCAUGUCAUUGAAAUUAGAGCAUGCUCUUGGUGUAUUCCCCGUUUCUUCAUCUUGACGACAAAAAACCCCAACAUACAUAUAUUAUAUAUACGAGGAUUGCAAAAGAAUUAGUAGG